rnacentral:rRNA from 1 species
UACGUAGGGACCAAGCGUUGUUCGGAUUUACUGGGCGUAAAGAGCGUGUAGGCGGCUCGGUAAGUCCGCUCUGAAAGCCCGGGGCUCAACCCCGGGAGGCGGGCGGAUACUGUCGGGCUAGAGUCCGGAAGAGGCGAGUGGAAUUCCUGGUGUAGCGGUGAAAUGCGCAGAUAUCAGGAGGAACACCAAUGGCGAAGGCAGCUCGCUGGGACGGUACUGACGCUGAGACGCGAAAGCGUGGGGAGCAAACAGG